rnacentral:tRNA from 1 species
GUUGGAUUAAAGUUAAUUUUUGGUGUAGAAGCUGGAAUAUUGUGUCUGUUCGACU